UAAUACGAUAAGGAGUAGAGGUCAACCGAUAUAUCGGGCCGAUACUUGGCAUUUUUAAAUGUAUUGGCAUUGGCCGAUUCCGAGUGUAGUACGCCGAUUUACAGACAGGCACGACUGCGGGCAGCCCAGUGUUAUUGUUGCUGUGUAACACGUGACACAUGCUGCCCUGUGCAGGACCCCAGCCAAAAGUUUUGGAAGAGUCCUGUGAGAAAAUGGUAAUGCUUAAAUUCUGAUCUUUCAAAUACCUAUUAAUUUAACUGGUUUGCUAUGAAAUGUUGCUUUAAAAGAAAACGCGAGCGCUUUCGAAAGACAACGCGAAUUACGCUGUCGGGAACUGGCGUAAUAAUAAGCCUUCAACCAACUGUAGCUUACAGGUAACGUUAAGGAUCCUUGAUUCUGACAGAGUUAGUAUUGUGCGCUUGUUGGUGGGCUCACAGACGCUUUAUAAUCGUUAAAAAUAUUUGUAAUUGAUAAAAAAUUAAUUAUUACCAUAUCAGCCCGAUGAUAUCAGUUCUGUUUUUUUUUCUUGUGUCGGAGAGUUUCACUGGGUGUGGGGCGGAGCAGGCAGCUCUCUCAAACACUGCAGCGUGAUUGUUACGUUACUCUGCCCUGAUCACAGACAGCACCGUCUUCACACACACAGAGCUGCUAAGAACUAUGCACGGCGGAGAAAACUGUUUGUUUGAAAGUGUGGUUACCAUUCAUUUGAGCUGAUGCUGGCAGUGGUCCUUCUGUGCAACUUGUUUGUAUUUGAGAGUGGAGAUUCGAACAAUUUGUCAGACGUCAAGAUAAAAAGUGCAUGACUUUGCGCAGUUAGUUUCCUCUUUAAACAUGUCUAUCCUUUAUACGCUCUUAUCCGUCGACAACGUCACAAUCACUAAGGAACAGUCUUGAAUAAAGUACCCGAAAGUCACACUUAAGUAUAAGUACAGAUACCCUUCCAGAAAUUUACUUCGAUAAAAGUUAAAUUAAAAGUCUUAAAGUAUGUAGUAUUCACUGAACUUAAGUAUUACAAGUAAUCUAUAACUAACUGUACUUGAGUAAUAAAAGUACGAGUGCAAGUAAAUGUUAAUAACAACAGAACGCUGUCUAAACUUUGAAUAUUAAAACGUUUACUCGGCAUUUUAAAGCAUGGAAAAGAAAAAUUUUGCCUACAUCACACACUUCAAAAACAGGAGUAGGUUAUUGUUAAAAAAGAAGUACAGGUUAAUGUUAACGUAUUUUAAAACCAUUUGUGAAAACACAAGUCACUGUUUUUCCUAUUACCAGCAUUGGGUUCAUUAUCUCAGUCACAAAACCCUGUUUUCCAGCUUUAAUAACUAUUUCAAUGUUCAGCUUCUGCUAUUUCUUCCUCCAUGACUGCUUGUGAGAUGGCUGCUCAGCGCUCACAUCGACAGUAAUUCCUGUCUGAUGGCUGAACAAAAAUCUAAUCCUAAAAAAUUGUAUUGUGUUUUUGUUAUUUAAGUUUAUAUUUAAAAUUACAGUCAGUAUUCAAUAAAUGCUAAGUUGAGAAA